rnacentral:lncRNA from 1 species
AAGAAGAAGGGUGGGUACAUAAACAAUUUUGAGCCUCAUAUCCUUUGUUUCGAUAACCGUGAACCAAGCCACGUUACAACCCUUAAAAGACCUAAUUGAAGUAGGGUUUAUUCCGAAAGCAUACUACAUCAAGGUUGCGUAAACUGACUCCUAAAAAUUUGCUAAUCUUUUACUUUGGUACAAUCUUCUUGUUGUAUCCUUCGCAUUGUUAAAUCAUCAUUGGGUUUGGAUUAAAAUGGUCCACUCGUCACACAUUAUCACAUCAUUCAAAUAAAUUCUUUUCAAAACUUGCAUGAGUAUCGCAUUAAAAUUACCAUUUCUGAACAAGCAAUUUUAACUGCAAGUCAGUACUUGACGUCAGGGAAAUUCCAACAAUAAGGAACAAUUAGAGGAACUUGGGCAUUCGUUGGUGCUAACCCGAAUCAAGACUACCUCAUAACCCACGAAUCAGGUGCAUGCCACCCAAAACAUCAAGUUGAUCAUAGGAAAAUUACUCCAAGAAUUGGUCAGUCUUAAACAGUCUCCAACAUCUGUUAAUAAAUGUGCAAAUCAUUUCAAGAAUUAGUUGAUCCAGAGCAAAUUAUCUCAGGACUCUAUUAACUAGGGGCAGAUCACCUAGAGGUUCUGUUGGCCAGGGGCAGACCCCUUCAAUGUUCAGUUAGGGUGAGUUAAGUCGCUUCAACGCUCAUACCGGGGCAAGCUACCUCAAGAGUACAGAAAAGUCAACCGCUCCAAGAGUCGGUUAACCAAGGAUAAAUCCUUUCAUGGAUCAAAAUUCUGGGGCAAUCCAUCUCCAAAUUAUGGUACAAUUGCUUUCAAAAUCCUUUCGAGGUAAACAUUUUGCAUAGACCCAUCACAUUGGGGCAAGAUGAGCCAUACAGGAGCAAGUCAUCUCCCUGACUUGAAGCUGUUCAAGCGAGAGCUUUUUCACACGUCAUCAACUGCAGAGUUCAAGAUGAGUGUCGGGGAAUCAUGCUAUCAUCCCAUAAAACAGCCAUCUGGCAGACAGAAGCCUUUCUGCAAAGAACCUUCUCUUCCAAUACCCACGCAGGGGCAUUUUGAAAACCUUCAAAUCAUUGCAUAAAGCAUCCUCAUGCAUUAGUCAUGUCACUUUGCUCUAAGAUAAAACCAUGCAUAUCAUAAAAUUCAUGGGGUCUAACCCCAUAACAUGAACCUGGCAUCAAAAAGCCUUGAAACACAAAAUCUGACACCAAUGCCCAACAUCGCUUGACCAUUUCAAAGUCCAGUUCUCGUCUGGCAAUUUAUUUCAAAGUCCAGUUCCCGUUUGGCAACUUAUUUCAAAAGCCCAGUUCCCGUCUGGAAAACCUUUUUCAAAAAAAACAGUUCCCGUCUGGCAAUUUAUUUCAAAGCCCAGUUCCCGUCUGGCAAUUUAUUUCGAAGUCCAGUUCUCGUCUGGCAACUUAUUCCAAAGUCCAGUUCCCGUCUGGCAAACUAUAUCAAAAAUCAGUUCUUGUACGACAAAUCAUUUGCCAAAUACUAGUUCUCGUCUGAUAAAUUAUCUCUUAAUACCAGUUCUCGUCUGGUAAAUUAUCUCUUAAUACCAGUUCUUGUCUGGUAAGUUAUCUAUUAAUACCAUUUCUCGUCUGGUAAAUUAUCUCUUAAUAUCAGUUCUCGUCUGGUAAAUUAUCUCUUAAAUACCAAUUCUCGUCUGAUAGUUAAUUAUUUUCACUAGUUCUCGUCUGGUAGCCUACUUUAAAAAUUAGUUCCUGUUUGACAAACAAAAACAAAUUCAGUCCUAUCUGACAUUUCAAUUAUUUUCACGAGUUCACGUCUGGUAACAUAUCCUUCAAGUGUUGUCCUCAUCUGGCAGUUCAAUCUCCUUCACCAGUUCUCAUUUGGCAGUUCCCAUUCUAAGUCCACACUAUUGGCAUCAAACCGCAAAGCAAAAAUGUCUUAACUAGGGGCAUGUCCAAAUACCCAUUUGCAUUCUAACAUGCAUCAUGUAAAUCAAUCAUACAUGGUUUUCCUACCAAACAGAAAAUUCAAAAAAACACAGUCAUAUCAAUCAUCAGCAUACUCAUGCAUAACACUCCCACAAAAUGGGAAUUUCAAUAAAAAAAUAAAAAUCAUUUGCAUUCCUACAUGCACAACCAAAUAUCCCCAGCAAUUGCAUACUUGCAUGCAUCUCAUACACCACCCCAUACAUGGUAUUCCCACCUAAAGUGGGACAUCAUACAAAAAUCAAAAGUAAAAUGUCAGGACCCAAGGUCAUUCAUGUAUAUCUUGGAUAUUCCUCAUUCCAAAUGAAGUUAUUACCCUGCAUAUGCUCGUGGGAUUAUAUCUCAGUAAAUCAUUUUUUCGACUUUAUGAUUAAAAAUGAUAUUUCCAACAUUUUUCUUUACAAUCAUUGCUCCCCAAGCAGAGGUUACCCUAAAAAGUCUCUUAUGAGCUUUUCCCCUGCAGAGCAUUUCUAGUAAAUCUCCCUCAAAAGGAGUAUUUUCUUAAAAAUUCCCCCAACAGACGAAUGUUCGAGAUACUGCUUCAUUUAUCUGAAGAAUCUCAUUUUUCUGUUUGAGAUACUGCUCUAAUAUCCUCGGAGAGUCUUAGAUUCAAUUAAAGUAUUUUUCCCUUGCUGGAAUAUUUUAAUUCUAUCAUAUAAGAUGUUGUUUUGACUCGAUACAGAGAAUCUCAUUUUUACUGUUUGAGAUACUGCUUCAUCAAUAUGAAGAGUCUCAUUUCAGAUUCUUUUAGAGAUACUGCUCUAAUAUCCUCGGAGAGUCUUAGAUUCGGUUAAGGUAUCUUUCCCUUGCUGGAAUAUCUUAAUUCUAUCAUAUAAGAUGCUGCUUCGACUCGAUACAGAGAGUCUCAUUUUUGCUGUUUGAGAUACUGCUUCAUCAAUAUGGAGAAUCUCAUUUCAGAUUUCUAGUCUAUGACGAGAUUCAUAGGAGCCUCUGUCUUAGAUUCAAUUAAGGUAUCAUUCCCUUGUUCGGAAUAUCUUAAUUCUAUCAUAUAAGAUGCUGCUUCGACUCGAUACAGAGAAUCUCAUUUUUACUAUUUGAGAUACUGCUUCAUCAACAUGAAGAGUCUCAUUUCAGAUUUUUUUAGAGAUACUGCUCUAAUAUCCUCGGAGAGUCUUAGAUUCAAUUAAAGUAUUUUUCCCUUGCUGAAAUAUUUUAAUUCUAUCAUAUGAGAUGCUGCUUCGACUCGAUACAGAGAAUCUCAUUUUUACUGUUGAAAUGCUGCUUCAUCAAUAUGAAGAGUCUCAUGCCAGAUUUUCUUUAUAUUGCUCUAGCAUCCUGGAAAACUCUUGAGAUUUAGCUAGGAAUGUCAUUCUAUUACUAACAUAUCUCGACCAUGACGUCCAAGAUACUGUUCUGACGACUCCCAGAAAGUCUUGGCUGUUCCAUUUUACUUUAGGAUAACGUCUCUCACUAUUUCUCACUGCAUUUUCUUCCUUGCAUUUCAAAGGACAAAAUUUGGGUCUUUUCGUAUUUAAUUAUCUUCCACUACGAAUGUAUGAAGACUCUUGUCGUUCUUACCUUCUAGUUCAAGAUAAUGAAAUAGGGGCAACUGUCAUACCCCAAUUUUGUCCGGGCAUUUUAAAUUUUCAUAAAUUCAAUUUAAUUUUCAGUUUACAACAUAUGUACAUCAUAAUAUGCAUUUUAUCAUUAAUAAUACCUGAAAUAUCAGUCAGGAUAAACUUAUUAAAAAUACAGACAAAUCGGUUGAAUCUUUUCUCAAGUACGGACCAAAUCAGCGGGUAAAAAAUUUCAGAAUUAAAAUUACAGACAUCAGUAUUAUUAAUCUACAGUUCAUGUAGUUUAACCUGGUGUGCUCGUUGUAUUUUUCAGCAGCUGUUUCAGUUGUGUUUUGACCCGCCUGAGCCUUUUAACCGAUGCAAACUUAUUCUAGAAUUUGAAGAAACGCUGUAUUUUUUCAAUAAGUAUAUUUUGUGCUGAUCAUUUUAGUGUGUCUGAUUUAAUUUUUCGAGCAAAUUUUUGUCCGAAUUUUAUUCAUUUUUAGUCGUUUUAAUUUUAUUCUUUCGUCAAAAUAGUCAGAUUAAAUAAAUAGAAUUUUUCAUGUUAUUAUUUUAAUUUUAUCAUGAUUAUUUAAAAAGUUGUGAAUUUUAUUUGAUUCAAUUGAUUAAAAUUGUUUUAAAUCGAUUAAGUCAUCUAAAAAAAGGCAUUAUAUGUAUUUUGAUUUAUUUAAUUAGGAUGUGUUUCUUUGAUUCAAUCUGAAUCGUUGAUUCAAAUUAAUCAAAGGCCCAUGUUAGCAAUCCAUACUCAUUUCCAAUAUCCAAUCAUAAAAUAGAAAUUUAAAUAAAUAGUUAAAUAGAAAAUUAGAAAAUAUUAAAAAAUAUCUCUUUCAAUCCAAUUGCCAGGUGCCACGUGACAAUCUUAUCUUCUUGUGAAUGGUACAGGCUUGGCAAAUGGUCCUAUCACUCCUUUCCAACGGUAACAAAAAUAAUAUUAAAAAAGGGAGGCAUACGUUUCCAUGGGCCACUUACAUAUUAACUGAUGCUCUCUCCUCCAAAGAUAGAAAAAAAUGAAAUAGAAAGUGAAAAGGAGAAAGGUGGAUUCACGUUCACGAUAAAAUAAUAAAAGAAGGAAAAAGAAGAAAUCUCUCUCACUCACCUCACUAUCACCCACCUCCACUAACAAACCAAACCCUCGCCGUUUACCGUUUUCAACAUUACAAACCCAUUCACCUUCAUCAACUCACCUUCCGACCGUCACCAACCUCCGCCAUGAUUAUCGCUAUGAAAUCUCCUCACCCAAACACACCUUUCAUCAACUACUCAUAGCCUCGCCGCAAUUACCAACUCUGAUACGUCUUAAUUCCGGUUUCCACUCUGAUUACGUUUCGAUUAGAUUAAGCUUGUGAUAAGUUUUCUGUUUAGAUCUGUUGCAGGUUCUAGCAUCGAAGUUACUUUUUCCAGGAGAAGAAAAACGUUUGAGAAACAAUGCUCCAGAUCUGUUUCUACCGAAGCUACAACGCCAACUCGGCGGUGAUUCUCAACAACAAUGAAGCGGAAGCAUCAAACAACAAUGGAACCUUGUUUUCUUCCUUUUUUUUUUUGCUUUAAUGCGAUUGGGUUUUUGUCUGUUUGAUUUUUUUGCAGCUCAUUGCCGCUCAUAAUCGUUGCGGGUUCGAUUCAGGAUCUAUAUUCAAUUUUGAACUGAUUACGACAUCGUCAGAGUCCAUUCCAUUUCUAACCGCACAAGAAUAACCACCGUGUACACAUCUCAUGGG